UCCCUAGUGGUUCAGUGGUUAAGAAUCUGCCUUUAAUGCAGGGGACGCAGGCUCGAUUCCUGGUCAGGGAA
rnacentral:tRNA from 1 species